AUGACUUGUUCGCUUUGCAACUCAGCUUCUGAAUCAAGAGAUCACCUCUUUAUGCAAUGUGAGUUCACUAAAGCUUGUUUCUUCUCGUCUCCCUUGGGCUUUCGAAUUCUUGCUGAUAUGGAGUUGCUAGAGUGGCUUUCUAGUGUUUUUUGUUCUCCCAACAAGGAUUGUGCUCGAAUCAUUGACACUACCUUGAGGAAAAUCUAG